CAUGCAAGUCGAGCGGUAGAGAGAAGCUUGCUUCUCUUGAGAGCGGCGGACGGGUGAGUAAUGCCUAGGAAUCUGCCUGGUAGUGGGGGAUAACGUCCGGAAACGGACGCUAAUACCGCAUACGUCCUACGGGAGAAAGCAGGGGACCUUCGGGCCUUGCGCUAUCAGAUGAGCCUAGGUCGGAUUAGCUAGUUGGUGGGGUAAUGGCUCACCAAGGCGACGAUCCGUAACUGGUCUGAGAGGAUGAUCAGUCACACUGGAACUGAGACACGGUCCAGACUCCUACGGGAGGCAGCAGUGGGGAAUAUUGGACAAUGGGCGAAAGCCUGAUCCAGCCAUGCCGCGUGUGUGAAGAAGGUCUUCGGAUUGUAAAGCACUUUAAGUUGGGAGGAAGGGCAGUAAAUUAAUACUUUGCUGUUUUGACGUUACCGACAGAAUAAGCACCGGCUAACUCUGUGCCAGCAGCCGCGGUAAUACAGAGGGUGCAAGCGUUAAUCGGAAUUACUGGGCGUAAAGCGCGCGUAGGUGG
rnacentral:rRNA from 1 species